CAGAAGAAGAAAACCAGGUUACAUCUGGCUAUAAAAAAAAGUAUGUCUUUUGUGGUAUUUACCACUUUAAGUUCCCUGCAAUAGACCUCUUUUUAAUGGUGGUAAAUUGUGAUGCAUUACUAAGGGAGCAUGGGAGACGCUCCCAGGUCACUCCAUUAAGAUUUGCAAGAAAAGAGCAACGUAUUCUGCAGACCAAAGUGGUUGAGUGGGCAUAUAUAGGGCAAGGUGGUGGAAUAUAAAUGUAAUUAAAAAUGUAAUAAAUUUAAAGAUAAACAUUGGUAAAGAAAGGAACCACACAGUUAAUCCCUACAAACGUGAGUGGGGUGCCCCAUUUCUCUUCCCACUCACCAUGCCAAAUUUUAUAUUGUAAGCUCAUUGAGGCAGAGAUCUUGUUCCCUUGUACUCUAUACAGCAACACUUAUAGGAUAAUAUUAUUAUUAUUAGAAUUAUUAUUGGAAUUAGAAUUAAUAUUAGCGCUGAAAUUCAAAACAAUAAUUCAUUCUUAUUAUUAACCAGGAUUAAUCAUUGCUACUCAUCCCAUUUAAAACAAUAAUCAAUAGCCUACAAUUGAUCUUGGACAAUGACUCUUCCCUCCCAGAGGCCUUGGGUGGCAGCCCUGUAAUUGAUUACAGAGAGUUUCCCCAUCCUAAUGCUACUUGCCGCCAUCAACAGACCACAGGAAUAUAAUAGGGAGCUGCCUUAAACUGAGUCAGACCGUCGGUCCAUCUAGCUCAAUACUGUCUACACUGACUGGUAGCAGCUGUCCAGGAUUCCACACAUGAAAUCCCUUCCAGUCUUACCUGGAGAUGCUGGGGUCUAAACCUGGGACCUACUGCAUAGAAAGCAGACGUUCUACUACUGAGCUAUGGCCAGAGGCCAAUGGAAGCUGACACCAUCUCUGUCCUUGUUUGUACUUUGACAGCAUUAGUAUGCAGGGGUCAGCAAACUUUUUCAGCAGGGGGCCGGUCCACUGUCCCCCAGAACUUGUGGGGAGCUGGACUAUAUAUUUUUUUUUGGAGGGGGGGAUGAACGAAUUCCUAUGCCCCACAAAUAACCCAGAGAUGCAUUUUAAAUAAAAGCACACAUUCUACUCAUGUAAAAAUACGCUGAUUCCCGGACUGUCCGCGGGCCGGAUUUAGAAGGCGAUUGGGCCAGAUAUACCCAUGGGAUAGGGCCUAGCAGCAUCCACAAUGCCAGGGAUUCAUUCACUUGCUCAGUCUAACUUAUGCCAUUAUCUACCAGCAAUGUCUUUCUGCACUCUAUAUAGGCCCAGCAGGCGAGUCUCUGUGCAAAAUAAUAAAAGGACAAAAAUUUGAUAUCAGAAAUGGCAACAACAACAAUAAAAAUGGUGUGUGUGUGGACAUUUCAACCUCCUGGGACUGUCUGGAACUGACUUUAAGGUGGCCUUUGCAAAGGGAAACUGCAAUGUGAAACUGCUCAGUUACAGCACAUCAAGAGGUUCAGUGCUAUCGCUUGUGGACUGAAUUAGGACAACUGAGUUUUAUUGCCCUCCAUGUGUUAACUGGAUUACCAAUACCAAGAUGUAUGCAUUAAAAAGGUAAAGGGACCCCUGACCAUUAGGUCCAGUCGUGGCUGACUGGGGUUGCGGCGCUCAUCUCGCUUUAUUGGCUGAGGGAGCCGGCAUACAGCUUCCAGGUCAUGUGGCCAGCAUGACUAAGCCACUUCUGGUGAACCAGAGCAGCACACGGAAACGCCGUUUACCUUCCCGCCGCAGCGGUACGUAUUUAUCUACUUGCACUUUGACGUGCUUUCAAACUGCUAGGUUGGCAGGAGCAGGGACCGAGCAACGGGAGCUCAUCCCGUCGUGGGGAUUUGAACCGCCGACCUUCUGAUCAGCAAGUCCUAGGCUCUGUGGUUUAACCCACAGCGCCACCCGCAUCCCCAAGAUGUAUGCAUUACCAACAACUUUUUUCAUGAAUGGCCACUGUUAAUCAUGUAAUUUUCUGCAUUUCAUUUUCUUCCAACCUCACUGUUUACAACUCCCUCUCCUCUAUCUAUCCAUACAUCUAUCCAUCUCUGCCUAACCCCCCUCCAAGAAUAACACUUCAUGCAUCUGAUAAAUUAUAGUCCACAAAGGUUUUCUAAGAAGACAAAGCCAUAUCCUGCUAUGUUAGAAUACAAACUCUGAAAUUAAUCAUUCCCAUUAUUUUCAUUGGGCCUACUCUGAGUAGCACUAGCAAUGGAUGCAACACAGAGGACUCCAGGAGGCAAAAAAAAAAAAAAAAAAGCAGAACAAUUAAGCAGCACUGUUUUAAAAAACAACAACAACCCUUUUUAACCCAAUUUGUUAAACCCACUGGAUUAAAAGAGGUUUAGUGUGGUUUAGUGUAACUCAUGCUGGAAUAAGGUGGAUAUAAAACUAGAAUAAAACAAUCUAAAUGAACCAGCCAAAUGAGAAUUUAAUCUCCUUUAAUUAAAAAUAAGAACCCAUUUAAAAAACAACCCAGAAAGCUUUUGGCAGAGGAGCAAACAGAAACCAGAGCACCCAGUGUGCUAGGAUAAAAACACAUCCACCUUACUUCUACAGCCUGUCUUUAGGUACCUUUGAAAGAGGAUUAAGCAAAUUCUGGGAGGAUAAGGCUAUCAAUGGCUACUAGCCAUGAAGGCUGUUGUUCUCUGCCUCCACAGUUGGAGGCAGCAAUGGUUCUGAAUGUCUGUUGAUGGAAACUGCAGGAGAGGGUGCUCUUGUGCUCAGGGGUCCUGCUCUCAGAUUCCCCACAGGCAGAUCUCGUUGGCCACUGUGAGAACAGGAUGCUGGACUAGAUGGGCCAUUAGCAUGAUCUAGUAGGUUCUUCUCAUGCUCUUAUGGAAUACUACAACCGCAUUUGGAGAUACAGUGGUACCUUGGGUUACAGAUGCUUCAGGUUACAGACGCUUCAGGUGACAGACUCUGCUAACCCAGAAAUAGUACCUCAGGUUAAGAACUUUGCUUCAGGAUGGGAACAGAAAUCGUGCAGUGGCAGCGGGAGGCCCCAUUAGCUAAAGUGGUGCUUCAGGUUAAGAACAGUUUCAGGUUAAGAACGGACCUCCAGAACGAAUUAAGUUCUUAACCCGAGGUACCACUGUACUGUGUACAGUUCUGGUCCACCUUACCUCCAAAAAGAUAUUGUAGAACUGGAAAAGGUUCAGCAAAGGGCACCCAACAGGAAUAAGAGUGUGGAGAAACUUCCCUAUGAGGAGAAGUUACAACAUCGGGGGCUUUUCAGCUUAGGUGGGCAAGGAGUGACAUGCUGGAAGAAGUGUAUUACAAUUAUGCAUGGCAUGGAGAAGGAGGCUAGAGAAAAGCUUUUCUCCAUCCCCCAUAACACCAGAACCUGUGGACGUUUGCCAUUGAGUUAUGGUCAGUUGCUGGCUGGAAUGUGAGGAGCCCAACAGUAAGGUGGCAACAGAGCGAAUGACAAGCAGAGUCAUCUGAUUCUCAUUUUUGUCCCCAUCCUCCUCCCUGAUGAGCUCUACAAGAGGCAACUCUGAGACUAAGCAGGAGGGAGUAGACAGGCAAUGCCACCCCCUGGACUGGUUGUAAGGCUGGUGGGGCAGUGCCUCAUUUGCCCUAAUGGACCAGCCUCCACUAGCUCAGGUCUCUCUGCGUACAUUGGCAUCCUUCCUGAAUUAUCACGCACCCAGAAUGGGUGCAUUUAUUUAUUGGUUGAAUCUUGCCACAAUGAAUUGUUACUGCCGAGAGGGAGAGAGGGAGAGGGAGAAUUGUGAUUUUCAUUUUCUCUUUAGAUGCUUUAACAGAAUGCUUUCCCCAAAGGAACAUGUUCUUCCUUUGGUCUCUGUCCCAUAGGAAUUAUUCUUUAUAUAGAGUGGAUGUUCCCCCCCCUUGGGGCAUCUUGGUAGAGUUUUGCUUUCAGUGCGAUUCCUUAUGUUAUUGUCAUUCACCCCACCCCCACUCCCACCCAGCAAACAGCACCCACACGAUUCCAUUUUAGAGCUCUCAAAGCAACGUUUUGAUUUCCCUACUCUUCCAGUCAUAGCUCAAAUGCCUCUUCCUGCUUGCAUUUCGUGCUGCAAAUAGUCACUUAAGCCAGUAUGGAGAACCCUGAACACUUUGCAAGGCGGCGGCAGCAGCAAAGCAUACACAAACGGAGCCACAACGGUUUUGUUCCUUUGCCAGGUGUAAGUCUGCAUAUUGAUAUGUGUUUCGGUAUUGGCAGAUAAGGCAGCACAGUUGUAGAACACAGAGUACUGCCAGGAAGAACACAAAGCAAAUCUAAAUGACUGAAUGUAGUUGUUGCAAGAGAGGAAGCUCAGAGAACUUUGUCUGUAGUGCUUCGCUGAACUGAUCAAAGGGUCUCAAGAUAUGUUGUUGGAAUGGCAUACAAAAGAUGAAGAGGUGAAAUCAGUAAUGAUACAUUGGACUAGAGACUUUGGUUAUAAUAUACAAUAUGAUGAUUGGACGAAAUUAUGAAAUUUACGGCGUGUACCGCGUUGAAAGAAAAUGUAAUGAAAAUGGUAUAUAGAUGGUACAUAACGCCAGUUAAAUUAGCUAAAAUGUAUAAAACAUGUAACAAGUGUUGGAAAUGUAAAGAAAAAGAAGGAACUUUCUAUCAUAUGUGGUGGGAAUGCAAAAAGGUGAAAGGCUUCUGGGAAAUGAUAUAUAAGGAAUUGAAAAAGAUGUUGAGAUAUACAUUUGUUAGAAAACCAGAAGCUUUCUUACUAGGAUUGGUAGGUAAUGAAAUUAAUAGAAAAGAUUGUAAACUUUUCCAAUACGCUGUAACAGCUGCAAGAAUACUUCUGGCGCAAAGAUGGAAGCAGGAAGAAAUUCCAACUGUGGAAGAAUGGAGAAUGAAACUGACUGAAUAUGCGGAACUGGAUAAAUUGACUGGGAAGAUUUGAUAUCAGAAAGACCAAAAGUUUAUUGAGGACUGGGGGAAAUUUACAGAUUAUCUGAAAAGCAUAUGUGAAGCACAGACAACGCUUGUUGGUUUUGAAGAGUCUCUGUGAAAAAUUAAGAAAUAUUGUAAAAAAGAAAGUAGGAGAAAGGAAGAGGAAUGGUUAAAGGCAAU